rnacentral:sRNA from 10 species
GCCGGGCGUGGUGGCAUGUGCCUGUAAUCCCAGCUACUCAGGAGACUGAGGCAAGAGAAUUGCUUGAAUCCAGGAGGCAGAGGUUGCAGUGAGCUGAGAUGGCACCACUGCACACCAGCCUGGGUGACAGAGCGAGACUUUGUCUUUCUUUUGGGGGGUGGGUGGGGGGUGGGGAUGGAGUGUCACUCUGUCUCACAGGCUGGAGUGCAAUGGUGUGGUCUCAGCUUUCUGCAGCCUCCGCCUCCUGGAUUCAAGCAAUUCUCCUGCCUCA